rnacentral:rRNA from 1 species
GACGAACGCUGGCGGCGUGCCUAACACAUGCAAGUCGAACGGGGUAAUUACUUCGGUGAUUACUUAGUGGCGAACGGGUGAGUAACGCGUGAGAAACCUGCCUUUCAGUGGGGGACAACAGUUGGAAACGACUGCUAAUACCGCAUAAUGUCAUUUAAGGGCAUCCUUGGAUGACCAAAGCUUAAUGUGCUGAAAGAUGGUCUCGCGUCUGAUUAGCUGGUUGGUGAGGUAACGGCCCACCAAGGCGACGAUCGGUAGCCGGACUGAGAGGUUGAACGGCCACAUUGGGACUGAGACACGGCCCAG